rnacentral:rRNA from 1 species
AUAUCAAUAAGCGGAGGAAAAGAAACUAACAAGGAUUCCCCUAGUAACGGCGAGUGAAGCGGGAUGAGCUCAAAUUUAAAAUCUGGCUGGUUUACUAGUCCGAAUUGUAGUUUAUAGAAGCGUUUUCGGUGGCAGCCUGGGUAUAAAUCCUUUGGAAUAGGGUAUCAUAGAGGGUGAGAAUCCCGUCUUUGACUCAGUGCAUGCUACUAUGUGAUACGUUUUCAAAGAGUCGAGUUGUUUGGGAAUGCAGCUCAAAAUGGGUGGUAAAUUUCAUCUAAAGCUAAAUAUUGGCGAGAGACCGAUAGCGAACAAGUACCGUGAGGGAAAGAUGAAAAGAACUUUGAAAAGAGAGUUAAACAGUGCGUGAAAUUGUUGAAAGGGAAACGUUUGACACCAGUUAUGCGGGUGGAAAAUCAGUCUUUUGCAAUGGGGAGUUGUGGGCGUUCAGACCGCAAGGCUGGCGUUUGCUUCAUCUUUGUUGUAAGUGAUGCACUUUUUCAUUUGCAGGUCAACAUCAGUUUGCUUUGCUGGACAAAACCCCAAGGGAAGGUGGCAGCUUAGGCUGUGUUAUAGCCCUGGGGCGAUACAGUGGAGUGGACUGAGGUUUCGCAGUGUGUGCUCUCGGGCAAGGCUGACUGGGUGCUAUGGGAUCGUUCGGCGUACAAUGCAUGCAUUUUGCGUCGUGUCUUUUUCAUACUCGCUCAACUCGGCUCUUCCACACUUAGGAUGUUGACUUAAUGGUUUUAAACGA